UUGCUUCAGUAGCACAUGUACUAAAAUUGGAAUGAUACAGAGAAGAUUAGCAUGGCCCCUGUGCAAGGAUGACAAAUUCAUGAAGUGUUCCAUAUUUUU
rnacentral:snRNA from 1 species